rnacentral:rRNA from 1 species
GACGAACGCUGGCGGCGUGCUUAACACAUGCAAGUCGAGCGGUAAGGCCCUUCGGGGUACACGAGCGGCGAACGGGUGAGUAACACGUGAGUAAUCUGCCCAUCACUUCGGGAUAACUCCGGGAAACCGGUGCUAAUACCGAAUAUGACCACUUCAGGCAUCUGAUGGUGGUGGAAAGUUCCGGCGGUGAUGGACGAGCUCGCGGCCUAUCAGCUUGUUGGUGGGGUAGUGGCCUACCAAGGCUUCGACGGGUAGCCGGCCUGAGAGGGUGACCGGCCACACUGGGACUGAGACACGGCCCAGACUCCUACGGGAGGCAGCAGUGGGGAAUAUUGGACAAUGGGCGAAAGCCUGAUCCAGCAACGCCGCGUGAGGGAUGACGGCCUUCGGGUUGUAAACCUCUUUCAGCAGGGACGAAGCGCAAGUGACGGUACCUGCAGAAGAAGCACCGGCCAACUACGUG